rnacentral:rRNA from 1 species
AGUUUAUCCUGGCUCAAACGAACGCUGGCGGCAUCCUAACACAUGCAAGUCGAACGAAGGCUUCGGCCUUAGUGGCGCACGGGUGCGUAACGGGUGGGAAUCUGCCCUCAGGUACGGAAUAACUCAGGGAAACUUGAGCUAAUACCGUAUAAUGACUUCGGUCCAAAGAUUUAUCGCCUGAGGAUGAGCCCGCGUCGGAUUAGCUAGUUGGUGGGGUAAAGGCCUACCAAGGCGACGAUCCGUAGCUGGUCUGAGAGGAUGAUCAGCCACACUGGGACUGAGACACGGCCCAGACUCCUACGGGAGGCAGCAGUGGGGAAUAUUGGACAAUGGGCGAAAGCCUGAUCCAGCAAUGCCGCGUGAGUGAUGAAGGCCUUAGGGUUGUAAAGCUCUUUUACCCGGGAUGAUAAUGACA